UACGGGGGGGGGCAAGCGUUGUUCGGAAUUACUGGGCGUAAAGCGCGUGUAGGCGGCCCUGCAAGUCGGAUGUGAAAUCCCACGGCUCAACCGUGGAAGUGCAUUCGAAACUGCAGGGCUAGAGUCCUGGAGAGGAAGGUGGAAUGCUUGGUGUAGAGGUGAAAUUCGUAGAUAUCAAGCGGAACACCGGUGGCGAAGGCGGCCUUCUGGGACAGUGACUGACGCUGAGACGCGAAAGCGUGGGGAGCAA
rnacentral:rRNA from 1 species